rnacentral:tRNA from 1 species
AUGUUGGUAGUUCAGUGGUAGAAUUCUUUCCUUCCUUGUGGGAGACCUGGGUUAGAUUCCCAGCCAGUGCA